CUUAUCAAGAGUGGUGGAGGAACAGGUCCUGUGAAGCCCGGCAACCGGUUGACGUUUUCGUCACAUACGGUGCCAAUUCCUGCGGUAUAACCGAGAGAUGAGG
rnacentral:ncRNA from 1 species